AGCUAGAACAGAUUUGUUAUACUAGAGCUGCAUAAUUUCUUUGUUGCAUAUUUAUAAAAAAUGGUAAACAAAGAGUGAAGAAAUAAAUAUUUAAAAAAAGAUUGUUUAAUUAAAAGCAUAAAUAUUUCCACUAAAUAUUAAAAUGAAUUGCUAGCAAUACAAAACCAAGCUAGACAGUAGGUAAGAAAUAUUUAUGGGCAGCAGAUUUUCACUAGAGCCAUGUGGCAGGUGUGGCAAAAAAGUUAAUUUUGGACUGCAACCACAGAAGACUGUAGUGCAUAAAGCAGGCCUUGUUUUGAUUUGAAACAUAAGGGCAUUGGGCUUUGACUACGGGGAGUAAUUCUAGCAUUCAUAUGUUGAGCAGAAAUAGCACAUCACCAGUGGUUUAAAUCUUUUUGGCAGGAGUGAAGAUGGCCAAAACAAGCUGGGCAGCUGUGUGAACUCUAUAGCACAGUGUGCUUGUCUUUGAAGAGCAUUUCAGGGCUCUUGUGCUAAAAGAUGGAGCUCAAUUCCACUCAGAUUUAUAGCCAAUUCAAAACAACAGUUCAAUUCACAAGACAAUUCACUGGGUAACCAGUAACAUAGAGGCAUACUGGAUAGUUAAUCCUGUUUAAAAACUAGAAAUCACGAAAUCAACUUUUAAUACUACUAGCACUUCUCAUACCUGUAGCUAAUAAUUAUAAAGCUUAAAGAGCUUGUCAAACUGAAAGAAUAAAAUUUAAAAAAAAUAAUAAUAAUCACUGAGCCAACAUUUAAUGUAGGCCACCAGUGACUGUAAAUGCAUAAGGCAAAUAUAGCCACUGUGAUAAAGAAAGGCGCCUGUCUCACACAGCCACCAUUCUGAAAUCAAUUAGCCAUUUACUCACAUGAUAUCCUGUCCUCUGACACGGUCCAAUUAAUAGGAAACUAGUCUGGGCAUGUGUUGGGUGAUCAGUAUAUAGGCCUGGAGAUAUAUAGCCACCCUGAAGUCCAUAAACCUUAAUGAGGGCAAAAGCCCUUUGAAGAACACCAAAGAAACUCAUUGGAACAGCCAUCCUUCAUUUCCCCCCACGAGGAUAUAGCGACUAAGCACACAGUCUUUUUUUACUCCAUCACUCUAUCAUGGCGACAGUGUGAAUCCUCAUGUUGUGUCUAAAACAGACUACAGCAGGCUAUUGCAUAACAUUCUCAUUUAUUUCACUCUACAGGCUUCAGUGAGCAGAUGAGUAUUUACUCUUUGUAAAGAAACUGGCUCAUUGAACACCGAUCAUAGAGGCAUCAUGUUUCAACGAGUGAAAGAAUAAGCCCUGUCCCACGAGGGCCGUGAGACUAGGCCUGGGCGAUAUCGAUAUUUAUCGAUGGUACACCUUCUUUGAUAGCACGAAUACAUGCUGAAUUGAGUGCUGUGCUUGCCUGUGAUGAGGAGAUUGUGAAUAAAAAAAUGAAUAUUAGUCGAAUUUAAAAUAAACAUUUGCAUUUGAAUGCAAAAAUAGUACAAUCAAAUUCACACAGAAUGCAAAUUCAGCACAUUUUUUAGACGGACAAAUAUGACUGCUGCACUCACAUCUCACAGAAGAGAUGUAUAGAAAGCCAUGCAAAGUUAAAACAGUUUAAACAGUUUUAGAAAGCAUGUCACGAAUUUGUGUUGAUUUAUUCCCUUUCACUGCGUCACGUAUGUUUUUAAAAGCAAUCUGUGAUGGGCGAUUCAGCUCUUUGUUUUAAGCAAUGCAUAAAUACAUGAUGCUGUUUUGCUCAUAAUUGUUUAUGCAGUUUAUGAAAUUAUAUUUGAUUUAUAUGAAUUAAUUUAGACGUAAUGCAUGUUUUUUAUAGACAGUUAUUUCCUUGCGUUGACAAUUUAAUGUGCUGCAUUAUUUUACUCAAUGCGCCCUUCUGUGGCCUCAGGGAACAAGCCAAAAGUUUCCUUAAGACCUAUUUAAUCUGCAUAUAAAAUAUUACAAAUUACAUAUUUAAUUUCUAUUUUGUGUUUGACUGUUAAAACAAAAAAUAUAUGUUUUUUGUCUCAAAUUGGGUUAAUUUAAAAAUACAGUAGUUAAAUUUAAACAUUUUUUCUAUUGCUAUUUGUUUUAAAAAAAGGUUAUUAAAAAUGUCAAUAAAUAUCGAUACCAAACAAUAUGAAACAUUAUAUCGUUGAUAAAGUUUUUAGCUAUAUCGCCCAGCCCUACGUGGACCAGUGUUUUUCAGAUGCAGGUGUCCUAUAUGUUCAAAAGACUUUGAUGUCCAGCAGUUAAGCUUCUGAAUGUCACCCCGAAAUGACAUUCAUCAUAACUCGUUUUACUUCCAUAAUGUGAUGUAUUUCUGAGGGAAUGGCAUCUCUAUAUGUCAAAUCUAUUGUUGUUUGCCAUUUUAACUUCAAACUCCAUCAAGAUGCUUUUAACUAGCUUUUUACUUCACAUGACGUUAAUUGAUGGCUUGGAGUCGUGGAUUGCUGUGAUGUUUUUAUCAUCUGUUUGGCCUAUGUAUAAAAUGUUGCCAUAUUUCAUAGUUUGCAACAUAGCCUAAAAAUAUGCAAGAUGCUUAAAAAAACCAGCACCAAAGACUGUUAUAUUGAAAGCCAUUUCUCUUCUAACAAAUAAAUAAACAGGAGGAUUCUAAGCAACACACCACACAAUUGAGACCUAUAAAUAAAAUGCACAGUAUGUCUCAUAAAUAUAGGAAGUACUUUAUAUACAUUAAAGAAUUGUUAAUAUGCUAUUUAAUGAGCUACACCAAAAAGAGAAAAAAGAAGUAACUUAUUAACUCAAUUUCAUUAUUAAAUCUAAUGAAGCAGAAAAGCAAUCAGACUCAGUUUUGCUUGAAUGAGCGGUAAAUGUACGUGCCUGUCACAUCUGUGCCACACAUGAACAUGCCUACACCCAAACAUUAUACACCACUCCAUGAAGUCAGACAGUGGGGAAAAAACCCACUAAGCCCAUUGGUUCUGCUAUCAUGUCAGGCCAGUUACAUAACUCACUUGUGAGUCACGAGCAGAAGACAUGCUGGCCAAGGGUUUGUAGAGGACUUAUUGGUAUGCAUAGGAGUCAAGUAAUGUCUUUCUUUUUUUUUCUUUUUUUUUUUUUUAAUUAGGCCGCAAAAAGGAAAUAAAACGAUGCGUCCCAGUGUUUCCCACAGCAUUUUGCGAGUCUACAGGGGUUGAAAAAGCACGUUAAACUGGCAGCACAUGCAGAUGACAAGCCAAUAUGAGAUGCUGAAUACACAGUUUAACAGUUGAGCCCAAGCCUCCGUUACUAAUUAGAAAACGUUACUUUAGAACCAGUAACGAAGAAACACUGAGUUGCUUCAUUAAAAGCUUAUUGUAUUACUGUAUUAAAAGCUGUGUAAUAUGUGUAGUACACUGUAAAAAAGUAUUUCGCAGUUUAGUUGUUUCAAUUAAUGUUUUUAAGUUGACUCAACUUUCAGUUCAUUAGUUUGUUCAUUCAACUUAAAAUUUUAAAUUUCACCGUCUCAACUAGUUCGUUAAGUUGACAAAACUAGCCAUUUGCCCCCUCAACUUAAAAAAAUGUGUUGAAUCAAUUUAAUAACGAUAUCACGUCACUUAUCGCGAGAUCACGUGAAGACUUGCAGAAAGAAGACGUUGGUCAGCCAUCUUGAUGAGCUUCUCCUCAGAGCUUGAAAAUGUUUUCAAACCAGCACUUUUGGUAAGUAAAUAUUUGUAUUUAUUGGUUUAACAUGUGUACAAUUACGUAUGUUGUCUAAGAAUAGUACGAGUAUGGUUUAAAGCAUCGCAUUUUGUAGUUAAAUGGAUACCAGCAUUACUUUCGCGACACUCCUCUUAAGCCUCAAAAUACACGCGGUUCCACAGUAUUAUUCAUAUAAUUAUUAAACUAAUAUUCUCCCAUGCUAUACUGAGCUGAACUUAUCUGGAGAAUAUACUGUUUGGUAUGUAUUAUUUGAGCCCAGUGCUGCAUUAGAGACCGUUCAAACAGAGCACGAGACGGAGCGCGACGAACAACUGUGUGUAUUUAGAACGGCGGGAAUUUUAAAAAAUGACCUUAUGACCGAUUAAAAUUAGGGGAAAUAAACAAGAUUACUGCUCGAACUGUCAUUUUUCUGCACGUUGUAAGUGAAACGAACGAGCACCUCUCAGAGUUGGCUUGGAGAGCGUGUAUUUAUCUGACAUAAUCUUUCAGAUGAGGUUCUAACGGUACAAACUCUUCUUUCAGUUACAGUACAUAAGUGCCUCGUCGGAACCCAUGGCAACGCUGCGUGAAUAUACGGUCGGUUAAAAAAUUGAAGGUAUGAAAAGUAAUAAUGGCAUAUAUCUUGUAUAAAAAGCCCUGUGAUAAGGAUAAUCACAAAUGUGUAAAAUUAGCUUUUCUGUUGUUUUGUUCUAAUUUCCUGUAUUAUGUAAUUUAAAAGCCUUUUCUGGAUUGUAAAAUAUGGUUUUGGUAAUUGAAACGUAAACUAGCAAUGACAUUUGACUUUCGCUGUCAAGAUUAUUUAUUUGUAUUUAUAGUGUUGUUUUAACAUGUUUCUGUAUUUUCCAUGUUUAUGAUAUUCUGGAAUGACUAAAGAUCAGCACAGAAUUCUUGUGGAUGGACCUCAGCAAGUCCUUCUGCAGUUGUAUCCAUCAAAGUGCUAUGCAGACACAAUGGGAAUGACUGUCACAUUGUAGAGCUUGGACAAAUUCACACAGGUUCUCAAGAGGAAUUCAUCAAGGACAAGUCUGUUGGCAUUAUAGUUGUUGGGUGACCAAAAUGAGCACCAUCAAUCUGCAGUGAUGUGGUCCCGGUAAUAGAAGAAGAAAUCUUGUUUAUCUGCAGUUGUAACACGCAUCUCAUGAAUUGAGGUGACAUGGGCAUCUUGAUUGUGACUGAGGAGGAGGAAUGGGAGGUGCUUCCAAAAUAAACCAAUGACGUUGCUAUCAUUUUGGAAGAGUGUCUUGUCGCCAUCAAUAUCUGUGACGUCCCGAAAGCAUUUGUGCUCCUGAUGGGUCGUCUUUACAUCAUUAACAAAACACAGUACAGUUCUGAUGUUCUCAAAACUUUGCACGAACAUUGGUGGGAGUAACUGUUCUUCACGUGUUUACGGGCUACGAAACAUGCUACUCUGCAAAAAGUAGGCUUUUUGGUUGGUUUUUGCACUUUGUUCAACUCACAUUUUUUGCCAUGUUAUGGCAUCUCUUUUUAAAAUUUUGAAUGCACUUUGAUGCAUGUUCUGACUUCUGACUUAUAUUGAAAUGGAAAAUUACAGAAUUACUCAUCUGUUCUUUUGAUUAAAUGUGCAUUAGUGAAAGGAAUGUAGAUAUUUACUGCAAUUGUUCCAAAGAAAUUAAAUGUUAAUAUGAAA